AUACAAUGAUGAUAUAUAGAAAAUGGAAAUUAAAAUUAAUGAUGUAAUUUGUUGAACUCGUUUUAAUGAAAAGGAAACCUUUAGAGAUUCAAAUGAUGCUACACAACCAACUCUUCCAAAAAUUUAAAUCUUCUUUACAAAAAGAAAACAAGUACAAAAAAUAUCUUUGCCAAGAUCCAACUUUGAAUUGCAAAAGAUGAAUAUCCACAAGAGACCACUCACCCCAAACAUAUCAGUUCUUAUCAUGGUUUCAAUAGAUGGGACAACUUUGUUUUUAACUAGGUUUUAGUAAGUGAGACAUUCAUUUUUAUAAUGGUUCAAUAUCACCAUUCUCCGGCAGUUGGUUGCAAUUCCUGGCAACAGCAAAACCUGAAAGAAUUUCAACAAAAUUCAGAACGGAUGAGUCAGUGGAUUCCAGGGUUAAGGAAGAGACUUGCACUUUUUCAGUGCAAGUGCAUGUCAUCGAGUUUGAAAGGCUUUUAAAGUGAUAGUUCCUCGAACAAUACUACUAGAGGAGGAAAGAAUUCAGGUGCCUGUGGUCAAUGAGGUACCAGCAAUUCGAAAGCGUGUCAGGCCUGCAGGAGAGAAAGUUUCACGACCUCUAAAUUUAACCAAUUACCGUGAACCAGAGUAAAAGCCGAACGAAUUUAGCCUGUAGCUGCUUACUUUCUUAUCAUGGAACUUGAUUAUCAGCCACUGCACUGAUUUGUCCAUGUCAAAGGCUCCUAUAAUUUUUGAGUCUGUAAUGCAAUGCGAUCUGGGAUUUUACACUGAUACACGGGUUGAACAUGGUGCAGCAAUAGUGUAGGUUCUGCGAAUAAGCGAUUGGAGAAUAUACCACUCCUAAAAUAUUGAACUUUGUAAGGUGGACGUCACUACGAUGAUCAUCACGAGACUUUAGAGGGAUGGUUCGUAAGAUACAUGAUUCGCAACUCAUUCUGAUUCAAAUUUAGAUGGGAAAUCUCAUGGUUCAACCGGAUCUCCGAAGCAGAAGGAAGGGCUCGACACCAUCGAAACUCGGCUGCAAGUGCGUGG
rnacentral:lncRNA from 1 species